GCGGGAGUAGCUCAGUUGGUAGAGCACCACCUUGCCAAGGUGGCUGUCGCGGGUUCAAGUCCCGUCUCCCGCU
rnacentral:tRNA from 1 species